rnacentral:rRNA from 1 species
UUCCGGUUGAUCCUGCCGGACCCGACUGCUAUCAGAGUGGGACUAAGCCAUGCGAGUCAACGUAGAAAUACGUGGCGAACGGCUCAGUAACACGUAGUCAACAUGCCCAGAGGACGUGGAUAACCUCGGGAAACUGAGGAUAAACCGCGAUAGGUCAUGAUUUCUGGAAUGGUUUAUGGCUGAAACCUAUAUGGCCUCUGGAUUGGACUGCGGCCGAUCAGGCUGUUGGUGAGGUAAUGGCCCACCAAACCUGUAACCGGUACGGGCUCUGAGAGGAGGAGCCCGGAGAUGGGCACUGAGACAAGGGCCCAGGCCCUAUGGGGCGCAGCAGGCGCGAAAUCUCUGCAAUAGGCGAAAGCUUGACAGGGUUACUCUGAGUGAUUCCCGCUAAGGGGAUCUUUUGGCACCUCUAAAAAUGGUGCAGAAUAAGGGGUGGGCAAGUCUGGUGUCAGCCGCCGCGGUAAUACCAGCACCCCGAGUGGUCGGGACGAUUAUUGGGCCUAAAGCAUCCGUAGCCGGUACUGCAAGUCUUCCGUUAAAUCCACCUGCUCAACAGUUGGGCUGCGGAGGAUACUACAGCGCUAGGAGGCGGGAGAGGCAAGCGGUACUCAUUGGGUAGGGGUAAAAUCCACU